GCCCCUACCCUCCUUCCCUAUUGCUCCUCCUGAUCUGCUGCCCUGCACCCUCCCUCACAUAUGGCCGUACCCCGCUGCUGCUGCAAUCAAGAGGAAGGAGAAUACAAGGUGCAGCAAGGAGAGGGAAUGUUUAGGGGAUGAGAGGGAGAAAAAUGGGAUUGCUGUCCACGAUGGGAUUCCAAGGUUGUCUUCUUGAAGCUAGCAUGGAGGGAAGGGAUUAGAAGCACGUUUUGCACUUUAUGUCUUCACUUGAUAUCAUUGUGUUGUAAUAAUAGAUUAUAUUUAGUCGUUAGAGUCGUGUGUUUGAAGUUUAUAGUGUUGUUGUGAUGUUAAACUUAACAGAUUACUCUUAGUCCUUGUUAGAUGAUUUUAAAUGCUAGUGUGAUA